rnacentral:rRNA from 1 species
GACGAACGCUGGCGGCGUGCCUAAUACAUGCAGGUAGAACGCACAGUUUAUACCGUAGCUUGCUACACCAUAGACUGUGAGUUGCGAACGGGUGAGUAACGCGUAGGUAACCUGCCUGGUAGCGGGGGAUAACUAUUGGAAACGAUAGCUAAUACCGCAUAAUAUUAAUUAUUGCAUGAUAAUUAAUUGAAAGGUGCAAUUGCACCACUACCAGAUGGACCUGCGUUGUAUUAGCUAGUAGGUGAGGUAACGGCUCACCUAGGCGACGAUACAUAGCCGACCUGAGAGGGUGAUCGGCCACACUGGGACUGAGACACGGCCCAGACUCCUACGGGAGGCAGCAGUAGGGAAUCUUCGGCAAUGGACGAAAGUCUGACCGAGCAACGCCGCGUGAGUGAAGAAGGUUUUCGGAUCGUAAAGCUCUGUUGUAAGAGAAGAACGGGUGUGAGAGUGGAAAGUUCACACUGUGACGGUAUCUUACCAGAAAGGGACGGCUAACUACGUG